GUGAAUCACCAAAUUUUUGAACGCAUAUUGCACGCUCUUGUAUUCCGGAGAGUAUGCCUGUUUGAGGGUCAGUUAAAUAAAAAUCGGGGUUUUUGCCACCUUUGGUGGUGACGUUUCGGAAUUGGGUCGUCUUUACCUUUCGGUUAAGUGACUUAAAAUUUUUUGUAUGAUAUCUGAACGUAUUUAAAUUUAUUUGGUAUGUCUUGUAAUAUCGAAGGUUUAUUAGGUGUUAUCAUCCUUAUGAC
rnacentral:misc_RNA from 1 species